GCCAGUGCUCCAUAAACUCCAUCACCCGCCUGCCGGAGUGCAGUAGGCACAGCCUCCAUAGUGAUUCCCGUGCUGCUGCUGUUGUUGCUUCUGCUGGCUGCAGAGGUCGAGCCUGAUGACGACGCCCGGGAGCUGCUAGAGGCAGACUUCACUCUGGACCCAGACAAGCCCACCAACUUCACAAAUCCAGUAUAUGCCACUCUGUAAGAUGGGAGCCCCUUGUGGACCCCUCUGACAUAGACUGUCCAUUGGCCUGGAUCACACUAUUCCUAACACACCCCUCUUGUUGCCUUUUAAACAAAAACAAAACAAAAACAUUGAUAAAAAGUGUAAGAGACAAAUUGACAAAAAGUGUGAACACCAUUUUAUG